GACGAACGCUGGCGGCGUGCUUAACACAUGCAAGUCGAACGGAAAGGCCCUGCUUGCCGGGUGCUCGAGUGGCGAACGGGUGAGUAACACGUGGGUGAUCUGCCCCUUACUUUGGGAUAAGCCUGGGAAACUGGGUCUAAUACUGGAUAGGACCAUGCUGUAGGUGGUGUGGUGGAAAGAUAGUUUCGGUAAGGGAUGAGCUCGCGGCCUAUCAGCUUGUUGGUGGGGUAAUGGCCUACCAAGGCGUCGACGGGUAGCCGGCCUGAGAGGGUGGACGGCCACAUUGGGACUGAGAUACGGCCCAGACUCCUACGGGAGGCAGCAGUGGGGAAUAUUGCACAAUGGGCGCAAGCCUGAUGCAGCGACGCCGCGUGGGGGAUGACGGCCUUCGGGUUGUAAACUCCUUUCAGCCAUGACGAAGCCCUUGUAGUGACGGUAGUGGUAGAAGAAGCACCGGCUAACUACGUG
rnacentral:rRNA from 1 species